rnacentral:rRNA from 1 species
GUGCCAGCAGCCGCGGUAAGACGAACCGUCCUAACGUUAUUCGGAUUCACUGGGCUUAAAGGGCGCGUAGGCGGUUUACCAAGUCCGGGGUGAAAUCUUUCGGCUCAACCGGAAAAGUGCCUUGGAUACUGGUGAACUUGAGGGAGGUAGGGGCAUGUGGAACUUCCGGUGGAGCGGUGAAAUGCGUUGAUAUCGGAAGGAACGCCGGUGGCGAAAGCGACGUGCUGGCCCUCUUCUGACGCUGAGGCGCGAAAGCUAGGGGAGCAAACGGGAUUAGAUACCCCUGUAGUCC